rnacentral:tRNA from 1 species
CAAACAAUAGUCUAAAUUAGGAUCCUAGCUUUGGGAGUGGGGGGGAGGGGUUAAA